rnacentral:ncRNA from 1 species
AUUUAAGCGAUGACAGGAAUGAGUAGUGUUUAUCUCCCUGUUUCAGAGAGCUGGUGGUUGGUGUGAACCAGUGCAAAGGUAGACGCGAAUUACCUCCUGGAGCUUCUUUUGCGAACGGCUCUGCGAAUGCUCAGUAGCAAAAGACGGUGAGAGGCCGUUAUCCAAACAAGCGAGGGAGCAGAAUGCUCUCUAAGUAGGGUGGUACCGCGAUCAACACUCGUCCCUUCA